rnacentral:rRNA from 1 species
UCUGCCCAUAAGUGGGGGACAACAGUUGGAAACGACUGCUAAUACCGCAUAUGCUGAGUAAUCAGUAAAGGAGGCCUCUGAAUAUGCUUCCGCUUAUGGAUGAGCCCGCGUCUGAUUAGCUAGUUGGUGGGGCAACGGCCUACCAAGGCGACGAUCAGUAGCCGGCCUGAGAGGGUGAACGGCCACACUGGGACUGAGACACGGCCCAGACUCCUACGGGAGGCAGCAGUGGGGAAUAUUGCGCAAUGGGGGAAACCCUGACGCAGCGACGCCGCGUGAGCGAUGAAGGCCUUAGGGUUGUAAAGCUCUGUUUUAGGGGACGAAUGUUACGGGGAGUAAUAUGCCCUGUAAAUGACGGUACCCUAAGAGGAAGCCCCGGCUAACUACGUGCCAGCAGCCGCGGUAAGACGUAGGGGGCGAGCGUUGUCCGGAAUUACUGGGCGUAAAGAGCACGUAGGCGGGGACUUAAGUCAGGUGUGAAAGACCGGGGCUCAACCCCGGGGUGGCACUUGAAACUGGGUCCCUUGAGGGCAGGAGAGGAAAGUAGAAUUCCUGGUGUAGCGGUGAAAUGCGUAGAAAUCAGGAGGAAUACCAGUGGCGAAGGCGACUUUCUGGACUGACCCUGACGCUGAGGUGCGAAAAGCGUGGGUAGCAACAGGAUUAGAUACCCUGGUAGUCCACGCCGUAAACGAUGGAUACUAGGGUGUGGAGGUAUCGAACCCCUUCCGUGCGC